CCUACGGGAGGCAGCAGUGAGGAAUAUUGGUCUAUGGGCCGGAGCCUGAACCAGCGAAGCCGCGUGAGGGAAGAAGGUACAUCGUAUCGUAAACCUCUUUUGUCAGGGAACAAAGGCGGGGACUAGUCCCCUUCUGAGGCUACCUGAAGAAAAAGCAUCGGCUAACUCCGUGCCAGCAGCCGCGGUAAUACUGAGGAUGCGAGCGUUGUCCGGAUUUAUUGGGUUUAAGGGGUGCGCAGGCGGCCUGUUAAGUCAGCGGUAAAAGCACGGGGCUCAACCCCGGCGAGCCGUUGAAACUGGCGGGCUGGAGUUGGAGAGAAGUAUGCGGAAUGCGCGGUGUAGCGGUGAAAUGCUUAGAUAUCGCGCAGAACCCCGAUUGCGAAGGCAGCGUACCGGCUCCACACUGACGCUGAGGCACGAAAGCGUGGGUAUCGAACAGGAUUAGAUACCCUUGUAGUC
rnacentral:rRNA from 1 species